CCUACGGGUGGCAGCAGUGAGGAAUAUUGGUCAAUGGGCGUAAGCCUGAACCAGCCAAUUCGCGUGAGGGAUGAAUGUUCUAUGGAUCGUACAACUCUUUUAUAAGGGAAUCAAGUGCGGGACGUGUCCCGUUUUGUAUGUCCCUUAUGAAUAUGGAUCGGCUAAAUCCGUGCCAGAAGCCGUGGUAAUACGGAGGAGCUGAGCGUUAUCCGGAUUUAUUGGGUUUAAAGGGAGCGUAGGUGGAUUGUUAAGUCAGUUGUGAAAGUUUGCGGUGCAACCGUAAAAUUGCAGUUGAAACUGGCAGUCUUGAGUACAGGAGAGGUGGGCGGAAUUCGUGGUGUAGCGGUGAAAUGCUUAGAUAUCACGAAGAACUCCGAUUGAGAAGGCAGUUCACUGGACUGCAACUGACACUGAGGCUCGAAAGUGUGGGUAUCAAACAGGAUUAGAUACCCGUGUAGUC
rnacentral:rRNA from 1 species